AUUGAACGCUGGCGGCAGGCCUAACACAUGCAAGUCGAGCGAGCGGCGGACGGGUGAGUAAUGUAUGGGGAUAUGCCCGAUAGAGGGGGAUAACUACUGAAAACGGUGGCUAAUACCGCAUACUAUCGGAUGCACCAAUCUGGGAUUAGCUAGUAGGUGGGGUAAAGGCUCACCAGGGAGACGAUCUCUAGCUGGUCUGAGAGGAUGAGCAGCCACACUGGGACGGCGACACGGCCCAGACUCCUACGGGAGGCAGCAGUGGGGAAUAUUGAACAAUGGGCGCAAGCCUGAUGCAGCCAUGCCGCGUGUAUUAAGAAGGCCUUAGGGUUGUAAAGUACUUUCAGCGGGGAGGCGUUACCCGCAGAAGAAGAACCGGCUAACUCCGUGCCAGCAGCCGCGGUAAUUC
rnacentral:rRNA from 1 species